rnacentral:rRNA from 1 species
GAUGAACGCUGGCGGCGUGCCUUAUACAUGCAAGUCGAGCGAACAGACGAGGAGCUUGCUCCUCUGACGUUAGCGGCGGACGGGUGAGUAACACGUGGAUAACCUACCUAUAAGACUGGGAUAACUUCGGGAAACCGGAGCUAAUACCGGAUAAUAUAUUGAACCGCAUGGUUCAAUAGUGAAAGACGGUUUUGCUGUCACUUAUAGAUGGAUCCGCGCCGCAUUAGCUAGUUGGUAAGGUAACGGCUUACCGAGGCAACGAUGCGUAGCCGACCUGAGAGGGUGAUCGGCCACACUGGAACUGAGACACGGUCCAGACUCCUACGGGAGGCAGCAGUAGGGAAUCUUCCGCAAUGGGCGAAAGCCUGACGGAGCAACGCCGCGUGAGUGAUGAAGGUCUUCGGAUCGUAAAACUCUGUUAUUAGGGAAGAACAAAUGUGUAAGUAACUAUGCACGUCUUGACGGUACCUAAUCAGAAAGCCACGGCUAACUACGUG